rnacentral:rRNA from 1 species
UGAGGGAUAUUGGUCAAUGGGCGCAAGCCUGAACCAGCGGCGCCGCGUGGGUGAAGAAGGUCUUCGGAUCGUAAAGCCCUUUUCCCACUGAAGAGGAAGGACGGUAGGUGGGGAAGAAGUCUCGGCUAACUACGUGCCAGCAGCCGCGGUAAAACGUAGGAGACAAGCGUUAUCCGGAGUUACUGGGCGUAAAGGGCGUGCAGGUGGCGUCUUAAGUCUGUUGUGAAAGCGCCAGGCUUAACCGGGCGAGGCCAAUGGAGACUGAGAGGCUGGAGGACGGCGGAGGGGUGUGGAAUUCCGGGUGUAGUGGUGAAAUGCGUAGAGAUCCGGAGGAACACCAGAGGCGAAGGCGGCACUCUAAGCCGUACCUGACACUGAGACGCGACAGCACGGGGAGCAAACG